rnacentral:rRNA from 1 species
UACGUAGGGGACGAGCGUUGUCCGGAUUCAUUGGGCGUAAAGGGUGCGUAGGCGGCGCGGUAAGUCGGGCGUGAAAUCUCGGAGCUUAACUCCGAAACUGCAUUCGAUACUGCCGUGCUUGAGGACUGGAGAGGAGACUGGAAUUUACGGUGUAGCGGUGAAAUGCGUAGAUAUCGUAAGGAAGACCAGUGGCGAAGGCGGGUCUCUGGACAGUUCCUGACGCUGAGGCACGAAGGUCAGGGGAGCAAACGGG